rnacentral:rRNA from 1 species
GGCCCGCACAAGCGGAGGAACAUGUGGUUUAAUUCGAUGAUACGCGAGGAACCUUACCCGGGCUUGAACUCGGCAGGAAGGAUGCAGAGACGCAUUCGUCUUCGGACCUGCCGGGAGGUGCUGCAUGGUUGUCGUCAGCUCGUGCCGUGAGGUGUCGGCUUAGGUGCCAUAACGAGCGCAACCCCUAUCCUCGUUUGCCAUCAGGUAAUGCUGGGCACUCCGGGGACACUGCCAUCGUAAGAUGUGAGGAAGGCGGGGAUGACGUCAAAUCAGCACGGCCCUUACGUCCGGGGCUACACACGUGUUACAAUGGGCGGUACAGAGGGCAGCCACCUGGCGACAGGGCGCCAAUCCUCAAAGCCGUUCUCAGUUCGGACUGGAGUCUGCAACCCGACUCCACGAAGCUGGAUUCGCUAGUAAUCGCGCAUCAGCCAUGGCGCGGUGAAUACGUUCCCGGGC